rnacentral:lncRNA from 1 species
AUCAUAUUGUGCAUGUGGAACAGUGUGGUGUAACCCGCGUCGGUUUUUGUUUUAGGAAAAUAUCCUUGCACUAAAUGCAAGCAUGAGCUGUGAAGAGAGAAACCAGGAUAGUGGCUGUAACAGGAGCACAGAAAAUGUAUUUGCUGCAGAAAAUACACAGCUAACACCAGUGCUUCUACUGAAGAAUGUCUUGAAUUUGCAGAUCUACAUUUUCUUGCAAGCCAGGAUGUAAAGUCUUGGAAAGCAAUUCACAGCAAAUUCAGCCAAGGCCCCAUACUGGCACCAAUGGGAUGAACCAGCUUGAAGAAUUGCAAAAGGCCUUUGUUGCCUUUGAAUUCAACCUCAUGAUUAAAGGGGAAGUGGAAACA